rnacentral:rRNA from 1 species
AGCUCCAAGAAUACGUGGAGGAGGUGGCCCGGGUCGGCGUCGGCGCCGUCCGGCGCGGGCCGCAGGCCCGCUUCCAAGUGCGUCUGCGCGCCGGCCACCCACGCCGGGUCCUUCAAGUGCCGCUUCCACCGCACCAACUCCCAGGGCCAGGGAAGCCGCCCUUCUUCGCACCCUUCACCGGUCGCGGCCAACGCGGUGCCGCGGCACCCGGCCUCGCCGUUCUCGUCCUUCGGCACCGUCAUGACCCAGUGA